GAUGAAGAACGUAGCGAAAUGCGAUAAUUAAUGUGAAUUGCAGAAUUCAGUGAAUCAUCGAAUCUUUGAACGCACAUUGCGCCCGCCAGCACUCUGGCGGGCAUGCCUGUUCGAGCGUCAUUUCAACCAUCAAGCCCCCAGGGGCUUGUGCUGGGGCCCUGCGGCUGCCCGCAGGCCCUGAAAACCAGUGGCGGGCUCGCUAGUCACACCGAGCGCAGUAGCACAUCUCGCUCAGGGCGUGCGGCGGGCUCCUGCCGUGAAACCCCCCACUGUAACCCCAAAGGUUGACCUCGGAUCAGGUAGGAAUACCCGCUGAACUUAAGCAUAUCAAUAAGCGGAGGA
rnacentral:misc_RNA from 1 species